rnacentral:rRNA from 1 species
GACGAACGCUGGCGGCGUGCUUAACACAUGCAAGUCGAACGGUAAGGCCUUUCGGGGUACACGAGUGGCGAACGGGUGAGUAACACGUGGGUGAUCUGCCCUGCACUUCGGGAUAGGCCCGGGAAACUGGGUCUAAUACCGGAUAGGACUGCGCGGUGCAUGCCGUGUGGUGGAAAGAUUUAUCGGUGCAGGAUGGGCCCGCGGCCUAUCAGCUUGUUGGUGGGGUAAUGGCCUACCAAGGCGACGACGGGUAGCCGGCCUGAGAGGGCGACCGGCCACACUGGGACUGAGACACGGCCCAGACUCCUACGGGAGGCAGCAGUGGGGAAUAUUGCACAAUGGGCGCAAGCCUGAUGCAGCGACGCCGCGUGAGGGAUGACGGCCUUCGGGUUGUAAACCUCUUUCAGCAGGGACGAAGCGUGAGUGACGGUACCUGCAGAAGAAGCACCGGCCAACUACGUG